rnacentral:lncRNA from 1 species
UCUGAUCGGCGCGAUCAAGGACAAAGCAUCACAAACCAAAGCCGCCAUCAAAACCCCCACCUCCAAAUCCCACCACCACUCCUUACUCCGAGCCACAACCCACGACCUCUUCAACCCGCCAAACCCAAAACACUUAUCCAAUCUCCUCUCCUCCGCCGGCGAAGGCUCACGCGCCACCGCCGCUGCCGCAAUCGACUCCCUCAUGUACCGCCUCCAAACCACCCACGACUCCUCCGUCGCGCUCAAGUGCUUAAUCGUCGUUCACUCCAUCGUCAAACAUGGCAGCUUCAUCCUCCAAGACCAGCUCUCCGUCUACCCUUCCUCCUCCGGCGGCCGGAACUACCUUAAACUGUCGAAUUUCCGGGACGGCUGGAAUCCGGUGUACAGUUGUUCCUUGGUUCGUCCAAAUUACUCGAACUUAUAAUAAAUUAUCAAAUAUCAUCCAUCGUUAUCUCGAAUAAAAUCGCUAACCACCGCUUGAUCCAAACUCGAACCCAGCGCAAAACUAGCCGGACCGAAAAUCUUUUAUAAUAAAUAAAUAAAUAAGCUAACCAAUUAAUAAUUGACCCGACGGCGAGAAAGUCGUUCAUAUUCUCACCGGCUUCCGAGAAAGUCCACCAUCCCCAAUAAUUUCUGCUAUUUUUUUCGUACAUUAUGGAAUCAAAUAUUAUUAUUAUUAUUAUUAUUUGAUAAAUCAUGAAAUAUUAUUUCCUUUUUGAAAUAUAAUUUUCGUCCAUAUUAAUCAUUAUCAUCAUUAUCGUUUCUUCUCCUUCUUCCACCUCAAUCACCACCUUCCUCCGACAAUGGGUCGAAUAACCAGUCUAAAAGAUCUAAUCGGCGCGAUCAAGGACAAAGCAUCACAAACAAAAGCCGCCAUCAAAACCCCCACCUCCCAAUCCCACCACUACUCUCUACUCCGAGCCACAACCCACGACCUCUUCAACCCGCCAAACCCAAAACACUUAUCCAAUCUCCUCUCCUCCGCCGGCGACGGCUCACGCGCCACCGCCGCCGCUGCAAUCGACUCCCUUAUGUACCGCCUCCAAAC